CCGCGUGAGUGAUGAAGGCUUCGGGUCGUAAAGCUCUGUCAGAGGGGAAGAACCUCUCGUCGGUUAAUACCCGGCGAGCCUGACGGUACCCUCAAAGGAAGCACCGGCUAACUCCGUGCCAGCAGCCGCGGUAAUACGGAGGGUGCAAGCGUUGUUCGGAAUUAUUGGGCGUAAAGCGCGUGCAGGCGGCUCGUUAAGUCUGAUGUGAAAGCCCCGGGCUCAACCCGGGAAGUGCAUUGGAAACUGGCGAACUUGAGUAUGGGAGAGGGAAGUGGAAUUCCGAGUGUAGGGGUGAAAUCCGUAGAUAUUCGGAGGAACACCAGUGGCGAAAGCGGCUUCCUGGACCAAUACUGACGCUGAGACGCGAAAGCGUGGGGACAAACAGGAUUAGAUCCCUGGUAGUCCACGCCGUAAACGAUGGGCACUAGUGUCGCGGGUAUUGACCCUGCGGUGCCG
rnacentral:rRNA from 1 species